rnacentral:rRNA from 1 species
AGCGAACGCUGGCGGCAGGCCUAACACAUGCAAGUCGAACGAACCUUUCGGGGUUAGUGGCGGACGGGUGAGUAACACAUGGGAACGUACCUUUAGGUUCGGAAUAACUCAGGGAAACAUGUGCUAAUACCAAAUGUGCCCUUAGGGGGAAAGAUCUAUUGCCUUUUGAGCGGCCUUCGUCUGGUUAGCUAGUUGGGUGAGGUAAUGGCUCAUCAAGGCGACGAUCAGUAGCUGGUCUGGUAGGAGGAUAAGCCACGUUGGAGCUGAGACACGGCCCACACUGCUACGGUAGACAGCGGUAGGGUGUCCUACGCACUGAGCCCAAACCUGACAAAGCCACGGCGCGUGUAUGAUCAAUGUCUUAGGAUUCCAAAAUUGCUUCAGCCGAGACGAUAAUGACGGUACCAGGUAAAGAAGCCCCGGCUAACUUCGUG